AUUGAACGCUAGCGGCAUGCCUAACACAUGCAAGUCGAACGAGUGGCGGACGGGUGAGUAAUGUCUGGGAAACUGCCCGAUGGCGGGGGAUAACUACUGGAAACGGUAGCUAAUACCGCAUACCAUCAGAUGUGCCCAGAUGGGAUUAGCUAGUUGGUGGGGUAACGGCGCACCAAGGCGACGAUCCCUAGCUGGUCUGAGAGGAUGACCGGCCACACUGGAACUGAGACACGGUCCAGACUCCUACGGGAGGCAGCAGUGGGGAAUAUUGCACAAUGGGCGCAAGCCUGAUGCAGCCAUGCCGCGUGUAUGAAGAAGGCCUUCGGGUUGUAAAGUACUUUCAGCGGGGAGGCGGUACCCGCAGAAGAAGCACCGGCUAACUCCGUGCCAGCAGCCGCGGUAAUUC
rnacentral:rRNA from 1 species